GCUCACCUGGCAAUGGGGGAAGGGUGCCAUCCGUUAUUGCUAGCAAUUACAAAUCUAGUUAUGUCACCCUGACGGAGGUCGGGUGACAUAUUGUUAUUGUACGAUUCUUUUUUAUGGCACCCUCAACGGAGUUGGGGUGACGUAUUGUUAUUAUGGCACCCUCAACGGAGUUGGGGUGACGUAUUGUUAUUGUACGUUUCUUUUUUUCCUUAUUUUUAUUAUUCUUCUUCAACACUUUUUGUCCACAGUUUCUC
rnacentral:lncRNA from 1 species